rnacentral:rRNA from 1 species
AUUGAACGCUGGCGGCAUGCCUUACACAUGCAAGUCGAACGGUAACAGGUCUUCGGAUGCUGACGAGUGGCGAACGGGUGAGUAAUACAUCGGAACGUGCCCGAGAGUGGGGGAUAACGCGGCGAAAGCUUUGCUAAUACCGCAUACGAUCUCAGGAUGAAAGCAGGGGACCGCAAGGCCUUGCGCUCACGGAGCGGCCGAUGGCAGAUUAGGUAGUUGGUGGGAUAAAAGCUUACCAAGCCGCCGAUCUGUAGCUGGUCUGAGAGGACGACCAGCCACACUGGGACGGAGAAACGGCCCAGACUCCUACGGGAGGCAGCAGUGGGGAAUUUUGGACAAUGGGCGCAAGCCUGAUCCAGCCAUGCCGCGUGCAGGAUGAAGGCCUUCGGGUUGUAAACUGCUUUUGUACGGAACGAGAAGACUCCUUCUAAUAAAGGGGGUCCAUGACGGUACCGUAAGAAUAAGCACCGGCUAACUACGUGCCAGCAGCCGCAGUAAGAC